rnacentral:RNase_P_RNA from 1 species
AAUCGCGGUCGUCUCGUCGAGAUGGCUGAGGAAAGUCCAUGCUCGCACAGACUGAGAUGUCUGUAGUGUUCGUGCAUAGCAAAGUCAUAAGCUAUGGUAACAAGAUUUGUUAACGGCGGAUGAAAGUCCUAAGGCUUAGCUAAGGGUCAGUAGUCUAUAAAGUGCCACAGAAACGAGGCUUUCUAGAAAUAGAAAGCGUGGAACGGGUAAACCCCUCGAGCGAGCAACCCAAACUUUGGUCGGGGCACCUCUAUCAUGCAGGAAUUCAACUGGCUUAGAGGACACUUCGGUGUAGAUAG